rnacentral:rRNA from 1 species
UGUUAAGUCAGCGGUGAAAUCUAGGGGCUUAACUCCUAAAUUGCCAUUGAUACUGGUGGGCUUGAGUGUAGAUGAGGUAGGCGGAAUGCGUGGUGUAGCGGUGGAAUGCAUAGAUAUCACGCAGAACUCCGAUUGCGAAGGCAGCUUACUAAGGUACAACUGACGCUGAAGCACGAAAGCGUGGGUAUCAAACAGGAUUAGAUACCCUGGUAGUCCACGCAGUAAACGAUGAUAACUGGGCGUAUGCGAUAUACAGUAUGCUCCUAAGCGAAAGCGUUAAGUUAUCCACCUGGGGAGUACGCCGGCAACGGUGAAACUCAAAGGAAUUGACGGGGGCCCGCACAAGCGGAGGAACAUGUGGUUUAAUUCGAUGAUACGCGAGGAACCUUACCCGGGAUUGAAAUGUAGAUGACCGCCGGUGAAAGUCGGCUUCCCUUCGGGACAUCUAUGUAGGUGCUGCAUGGUUGUCGUCAGCUCGUGCCGUGAGGUGUCGGCUUAAGUGCCAUAACGAGCGCAACCCCUGUCUACGGUUGCCAUCAGGUAAUGCUGGGAACUCCGUAGAGACUGCCGUCGUAAGGCGUGAGGAAGGUGGGGAUGACGUCAAAUCAGCACGGCCCUUACAUCCGGGGCGACACACGUGUUACAAUGGUAAGGACAAAGGGCAGCUACCUGGCGACAGGAUGCGAAUCUCUAAACCUUAUCACAGUUCGGAUCGGAGUCUGCAACUCGACUCCGUGAAGCUGG